rnacentral:rRNA from 1 species
AGUAUGAUUAAUAGGGAUAGUCGGGGGCAUCAGUAUUCAAUUGUCAGAGGUGAAAUUCUUGGAUUUAUUGAAGACUAACUACUGCGAAAGCAUUUGCCAAGGAUGUUUUCAUUAAUCAGUGAACGAAAGUUAGGGGAUCGAAGACGAUCAGAUACCGUCGUAGUCUUAACCAUAAACUAUGCCGACUAGGGAUCGGGCGGUGUUCAACUUAUGACCCGCUCGGCACCUUACGAGAAAUCAAAGUUUUUGGGUUCUGGGGGGAGUAUGGUCGCAAGGCUGAAACUUAAAGGAAUUGACGGAAGGGCACCACCAGAUGUGGAGCCUGCGGCUUAAUUUGACUCAACACGGGGAAACUCACCAGGUCCAGACACAUUAAGGAUUGACAGAUUGAGAGCUCUUUCUUGAUUAUGUGGGUGGUGGUGCAUGGCCGUUCUUAGUUGGUGGAGUGAUUUGUCUGCUUAAUUGCGAUAACGAACGAGACCUUAACCUGCUAAAUAGCCAGGCUAGCUUUUGCUGGUCGCCGGCUUCUUAGAGGGACUAUCGGCUCAAGCCGAUGGAAGUUUGAGGCAAUAACAGGUCUGUGAUGCCCUUAGAUGUUCUGGGGCCGCACGCGCGCUACACUGACAGAGCCAACGAGUAUAAACCUUAACCGAAGAGGUUUGGGUAAUCUUGUUAAACUUCUGUCGUGCU